rnacentral:rRNA from 1 species
AGUUUGAUCCUGGCUCAGGACGAACGCUGGCGGCGUGCUUAACACAUGCAAGUCGAACGGUGAUGUCAGAGCUUGCUCUGGCGGAUCAGUGGCGAACGGGUGAGUAACACGUGAGUAACCUGCCCCCGACUCUGGGAUAACUGCUAGAAAUGGUAGCUAAUACCGGAUAUGACGAUUGGCCGCAUGGUCUGGUCGUGGAAAGAAUUUCGGUUGGGGAUGGACUCGCGGCCUAUCAGGUUGUUGGUGAGGUAAUGGCUCACCAAGCCUACGACGGGUAGCCGGCCUGAGAGGGUGACCGGCCACACUGGGACUGAGACACGGCCCAGACUCCUACGGGAGGCAGCAGUGGGGAAUAUUGCACAAUGGGCGAAAGCCUGAUGCAGCAACGCCGCGUGAGGGAUGACGGCCUUCGGGUUGUAAACCUCUUUUAGUAGGGAAGAAGCGAAA